CCUACGGGGGGCAGCAGUGAGGAAUAUUGGUCAAUGGGAGAGAUCCUGAACCAGCCAAGCCGCGUGAGGGAAGAAGGCCCUAUGGGUGGUAAACCUCUGUUGUCGGAGAACAAAACGCGGGAGGUGUCCCGGACUGCGUGUAGCCGAAGAAAAAGCAUGGGCUACCGCCGUGCCAGCAGCCGCGGUAAUACGGAGGAUGCGAGCGUUAUCCGGAGUGAGUGGGUGUAAAGGGUGCGUAGGCGGUCCGUUAAGUCAGCGGUACAAUUGCGGGGCUCACCCCCGUCGUGCCGUUGAAACUGGCAGACUUGAGUUCGCGAGAAGUACGCGGACUGCGCGUUGUAGCGGU
rnacentral:rRNA from 1 species